rnacentral:rRNA from 1 species
GACGAACGCUGGCGGCGUGCUUAACACAUGCGAGUCGAACGGAAAGGCCCUGCUUUUGUGGGGUGCUCGAGUGGCGAACGGGUGAGUAACACGUGAGUAACCUGCCCUUGACUUUGGGAUAACUUCAGGAAACUGGGGCUAAUACCGGAUAGGAGCUCCUGCUGCAUGGCGGGGGUUGGAAAGUUUCGGCGGUUGGGGAUGGACUCGCGGCUUAUCAGCUUGUUGGUGGGGUAGUGGCUUACCAAGGCUUCGACGGGUAGCCGGCCUGAGAGGGUGACCGGCCACAUUGGGACUGAGAUACGGCCCAGACUCCUACGGGAGGCAGCAGUGGGGAAUAUUGCACAAUGGGCGGAAGCCUGAUGCAGCAACGCCGCGUGCGGGAUGACGGCCUUCGGGUUGUAAACCGCUUUCGCCUGUGACGAAGCGUGAGUGACGGUAAUGGGUAAAGAAGCACCGGCUAACUACGUG